UCUACAUCUUACAAAAGAUCACACCAGGGCAUUACUGAUGUGGUCUCCUGUACAGCUCCAGUGAUCAAAGGCAUCUUUCCUCAGGCAGCCUUCCAAAUGCAAGGCCAUCAUACAAGAAAAAUAAGCAAAUAAAAUAACUGGAUUAGCACUGCACAAACAAAACCUAGGAAUUUUAAACGAACAGACAUAUGGAGGGGAAAAGAUUUACAAAGCUCUUCAAAACAAAAUAGAUAUGACUGAAAUGAUAGACAUCAUUGACCAUGGUGGAAGCACAUUGUCAUUGGCCAGAUUAUCCAAGUAAGAAUAUUAGAGGCCGAAACCAGCAUGUCUUCAAGAUUUACUGUGUAAUAUGCAUUGCUGUUCCUGUCCUCUCUUCACUUCUACCAAUGACUCUUCUAGAGCACUGCAACUGCUGGAACUGCAGAGAAAAAUGUUUCCAACCCAUGUCAUGCACGAGCAAGAGGACUGAGAGGCAUCAUAAUGCUGCACUGUUCUGGGAACACAAGUAUUGCCAGCACUAGGAUUACGAUAGAUGGGAAUUAUGAAGACCAGCUGAUUCAAUGUAGGAUUUUCACUCUCAUCACAUCUCUGAACAUGCUCUUUUUGCAUGGCUCACAAGGUUCAUGUGAGGGACAGUACUGCAGUCCCAUUUGUCACUGUACUGUACUGCUGUGACUAAAGAUAGGAUUUUCACUAAUAUAAGAUUAUUUUUUUCCCUGUAGCAACAGAAGACAUUGUAAAGAAAAUGGGAAUAAAGAAGGAACCUCCAACGUGAAAAGAGGUGAGAAGUGGACAGAAAUAAGUGAGUGGAAUAAGUUAGAAUGGGAAGUGGAAUGGUAAUAGUAUUAGAAAAGAGGAUGAUUUGGGUAUACAUGACUAGAAAUGGAGAUAAUUAUACAUGUCUUAGAAAGGCCAGAGUAAGGGGGAUACCAGCAUUUAGACUCCAUCACAAAAGGUAAAGAGAAAUCUGGAAACUCUUUUUGACCAGUAUGCAGAUAAAUCACAGAAAAAGAAUGAGAAGUGUAAUUGGGAAGGAAAAUUCAGAAAAGCUAAAUAAGUCUAGAAAGCCUUUACUAUUGGUUUCUGAGUUGUAGAUGCUAAUGCUAUAGUGUGGAUCCUACUUUGGUCUUACUUUGAUUUUCAUUAUGUAGUAUCUUUCUGGCAUUCAUUACUUCAUUCUGGCACUGGAAAACAAAGAACACACACUUUGCUGCUGAUUCCAAUCCCUCCAUUUAUUCUGACUUUUGUCAGUUUUCAUAUUUAUGCACUGUCUUUGUGCACUGCUGUACAGUCUUACCAGAAACCUUAUGGCAACAUGCGAAAGAUCUUUCCAUAGAACUCUGCAUCCUAUUCUCCCUGAAAAAUCAAGACUUGAAUAUUUCUAUGUACACAUAUAUAACAAGGCCUAUCUGACUGAUGUAAGAAAGAAAGGUAAUGAGAAGUCAACAUCUGAGUCCUGGUAGACUCUGGCAGUUCUACAAGAAUGACUGAUUUGUUUCUUGAAGGGCAGAAGGUCAUGAACAAACAGAAGAUGGAUGAGAAGAAGGAUAGAAGACAAUUUAAUACCACAUAUUAAAUACUACAUAUUUAAUUCCACAUAUCAGAGGAAUUAUACACAUUGAUUCCCCAGGAGAGAGAGGAAGAAAUGUAGGUAGAUUCAAGAGUUUCUGCAAAAGCAUUCAUCAAGCUGGAAACACAAGAGGACAGAGCAGAUGACCUUCCAGAGUGCAGGGUGAGAACACACAGCUGAGGGAGAUAACAGGAGGAACAAUGUGUGCUGAUAGAUUAAACAGUACAGAACUUAUUAAUUAAGUGGGAUUUGUAAUAUUGCACAAUGGCAUUGCUGCAGGCAAAAUAGAGAGCAAUUUCUUGAAAGGUGUGAUCAGCAAGUGGGGAUUUUCUUGGAUUUUUAACUUUAAUUGUGCUAUACUAUUUUUGUGUCAGGGGAGACAGCACAGAUCACAAUUGACCAUCCUCAGUAAAAUAGCAGAAGAUACAGUGCUCAAGUGUUGUGGGUUAACCCUGGCUGGCAGCUCAGCCUUGCACUUGCUUGCUCACCCCAGUGGAAUGGGAGGGAGAAUUGGAAGCGUAAAAUUGAGAACACCUGGGGGUUGAGAUAGGGACAGUUUAAUAGGAAAAGAGAAAGCAAAAUCUGUUUAUGCAAGCAAAGUAAGGAAUUAAUUCACUGGCAGGCAGCCGUUUAGCCAUUUUAGCCAUGCUAGCCAUGGCAGCUGUUUAGCAUUUUAGCCAUGUUAGCUAUUUAACCAUGUUUAGCCAAGAGAGAAGGGCUCUAUCAUGCAUAACACAUACUUGGGAAGACAAAUGCUGUAACACUGAAAACCCCUCCCACCUUUUCUCCUUCUUUCCUCAGCUUCUUAUUACUGAAUACAACAUCACAUGGCAUGGAAUAUUCCUUUUGUCAAUUGAGGCCAGCUGUCAUGGCUGUGUCCCCUCUUCUUGUGUACCCCCAGCCUAAUUGCUGUCUGGGCGAGGGUGAAAAAUCGCAGAAUCAGGGAACGAGUUGGAAGGGACCACAGUGGGUUAUCUGGCCCAACCUCCCUGUUGAAGCAGGGUUAUCCCAGGACUGUGUCCAGAACAUUCUUGAAUAUCUCCAGGGAGGGAGACUCCAUGACCUCUCUGGGAAAUCUGUUAUGGUGCUUGGUCACUGCACAGUAAAUAAGUUCUUUCUCAUGUUGAAGUGGAACUUCCUGGGCAUCAGUUUCUGCCCAUUGCCUUUUGCCCUAUUGCUUGGCACAACCAAAAAGUGUUUGAUGCUGUGUAAGCACUGAAUAGCAAUAGCUAAAACACUGUUGUGUUAUCAAUACUGUUUUGGUCACAAAUGCAAAAGAUAGCAGCCUACCAGCUGACAUGAAGAAAAUUAAGUCUACUCCAACCAAAAUCAGCACUCCAAGGAAAUGAAGUACUUCUUGUAGUGAUUUAGUGUCCAUGAAAUGUAAUGUCUUCGUUUAUCAUGAGACUCAGCUCAGUGAAAAAACGGGGUCUCACCAUGUAAUCUUUUUACCACAAAACAUAGGAACUUAUUUAAGAGUGAACUUAGCAAACAAAGGAUGAGGAGAGGAAACUUAAACAUCUGCAUGCACAAAGACUGGCAAAAUUCUGCCCUUACUUUUUGAGCAUGCUUUUUCUGGUGAUCUCUAGGAAGCUCUCUGUCACACAAACAGAGCUUCCCUUUCAAUAUGGGUCUGGAACUGCCACUGUCAAUACUGCCAGCUUGCAGGGCAGUGAUUGUCACGUAAUGGGGGAAAUGGCUAAAGCAAAACCAACCCCUUAGCACUUCUCCCCUCUGCAUUUGACUUCAGGGAUGCCUUGGAUGAGUGCUCAAAGAUUAUAUAACCUGGCAGCAGCUCUUUAGGCUGGUUUGUGUGUCUACAAUAUCUGCUACAGCUUGCUCUGAAUAAAAUGGAUGAACUUGUUCCGAGUUAUUUAAAUACUGCUGUCAUGUAUAGAUUCUCUCAGAAGCCAGGAAUCAUCAAAAGUUCACAUUUUUUUCUAAUUAAAACAGUUUGCAAUAAUUAAAUGUAUGUGUCUGUGUUUCUACUUCAAAAUGGCUAAAUAGUUGGCAAGUCUCCUAAAGCAGGAUUAGACUGCAGACCAGCUCAGACAAUGCUUCCAGGCAUCGAGGAUGUACUGCAGAAUCAGUUUAAUAAAGUCUGAUUAGAUUACUUUCUCCGGUCAAUUUGAAGCAGUGUGGCCAUGGGAUAAAUCAUCUUUUUAUCUCACCACACUGCUCUUUUUCUUUGCUGAAUCAUAGUUUAAAAACAUCAAACAUAUUUUUUAAAUAUCUAUUUAUUUACAGAUGCAAAGAAGCAUAACCUCAUGAAUUCCCUGUUGUCCCAAUGCAGUUUGAUAUUAUAUCUCAGUUUUAAAGACUGACUCUGUACUCAGGUUUCCCUUCUUUAUAUGAGUUAUCUCUCUUUUUCCUCUACAUAAAUAGCCUUGUUAGUAUAAUAAGAAAACAGACCUGAAUCUCUUAUCUGGAUUUGUCAAAAUAACAGCUUGUACUGAAA